rnacentral:rRNA from 1 species
AACGAACGCUGGCGGCAGGCUUAACACAUGCAAGUCGAGCGCCCCGCAAGGGGAGCGGCAGACGGGUGAGUAACGCGUGGGAAUCUACCGUGCCCUACGGAAUAGCUCCGGGAAACUGGAAUUAAUACCGUAUACGCCCUACGGGGGAAAGAUUUAUCGGGGUAUGAUGAGCCCGCGUUGGAUUAGCUAGUUGGUGGGGUAAAGGCCUACCAAGGCGACGAUCCAUAGCUGGUCUGAGAGGAUGAUCAGCCACAUUGGGACUGAGACACGGCCCAAACUCCUACGGGAGGCAGCCGUGGGGAAUAUUGGACAAUGGGCGCAAGCCUGAUCCAGCCAUGCCGCGUGAGUGAUGAAGGUCUUAGGAUUGUAAAGCUCUUUCACCGGUGAAGAUAAUGACGGUAACCGGAGAAGAAGCCCCGGCUAACUUCGUGCCAGCAGCCGCCGUAACAC